rnacentral:lncRNA from 1 species
GAAAUGAUGAGCUGAGAGGGCAGCUAGGAAACAGCUGUUUGCAGAGGCUUUGAUGGGGCCUUAGUCAAACAUGGAGACCUGUGGAACAGAAGUUGUUUCUCUUAAAGUAAGAUGUUGACAGUCACUGUCUUGCCAGUGAAGGAAAUCCCGUGCACAAGGGAGGGUAAUGCCAUUAAGUGUAGGAUCAGACCCUCCUGUUUCUGAUACUUUUAAGAGUAUGUGGGCAUGGCCCUUUCUUUUAGUAGGAUUGUCCUGGUCAGCGGUAAAUCAAGUGUAUCUUUUCUAGCAGAGAAGCUCUUCCCCAAAUUGGGGUCCUCAUCUGAUCAUUAAUAUUGAUACGUAUCAUUUCCCUAUCUUCAUAUUUCCAUUGAAAGAAAAUCAGUGGAAUCAAAUUUUAAAAUAUUACCUGUAAUAAUUUAGUCCUAUUUCCCCUCUUCAAAUGCAGAGCAUGACUAUUACAUGAAUACAGUUUGCGCUAUAAUGAUACAACAACAGCAAACAAAAGGAAAUCAGUGGAGUCAAACAAAAUUGUAAGCUAAGUUUUAAAGUAGAGAUAGACAUUUUGAAAACAUCUUUAAUGACUCAGCUGCCUUUUGACAAAUGUUUGUGGUGUUUUGCGAAAGAAGCCAGGUUAUUUAUUUAAAAGCACGCAAACUCUGCUAGCUGAACCCCAUUGUUUAACAAUAAAUGAUGCUUUUGCUGAUAAAUGAUUCUUUUUAUUCAGACUAGCAAAUGAAAUAGGAGAUGAGGUCUGAAGGCAGAUGAACAUUGAGCUGCCUAAUGUUUCCACCUACUAUAAUAUGUUUA